rnacentral:rRNA from 1 species
GCAAGUCGAGCGGACAGAAGGGAGCUUGCUCCCGGAUGUUAGCGGCGGACGGGUGAGUAACACGUGGGUAACCUGCCUGUAAGACUGGGAUAACUCCGGGAAACCGGAGCUAAUACCGGAUAGUUCCUUGAACCGCAUGGUUCAAGGAUGAAAGACGGUUUCGGCUGUCACUUACAGAUGGACCCGCGGCGCAUUAGCUAGUUGGUGGGGUAAUGGCUCACCAAGGCGACGAUGCGUAGCCGACCUGAGAGGGUGAUCGGCCACACUGGGACUGAGACACGGCCCAGACUCCUACGGGAGGCAGCAGUAGGGAAUCUUCCGCAAUGGACGAAAGUCUGACGGAGCAACGCCGCGUGAGUGAUGAAGGUUUUCGGAUCGUAAAGCUCUGUUGUUAGGG